rnacentral:rRNA from 1 species
AGAGUUUGAUCCUAGCUCAGGAUGAACGCUGGCGGUGUGGAUAAGGCAUGCAAGUCAAACGGCUCGCAAGAGCAGUGGCGAACGAGGUAGUAACACGUGGGUACAUCCCCCAAAGUCAGGAAUAACUAGUCGAAAGAUUGGCUAAUACUUGAUAGUCUCUUCGGAGUAAAGAUUUAUCGCUUUGGGAAAGGCCUGCGGAGUAUCAGCUAGUUGGUAAGGUAAUGGCUUACCAAGGCUAUGACGCUUAGGGGAGCUGAGAGGCUGACCCCCACCGAUGGGACUGAGACACGGCCCAUACACCUACGGGUGGCUGCAGUCGAGAAUCUUCCGCAAUGGACGAAAGUCUGACGGAGCGACGCCGCGUGAUCGAUGAAGUGCUUCGGUAUGUAAAGAUCUUUUAUGAGGGAAGAAGUUUAUUGACGGUACCUCAUGAAUAAGGGGCUCCUAACUCUGUGCCAGCAGGAGCGGUAAUACAGAGGCCCCGAGCGUUAUCCGGAAUUAUUGGGCGUAAAGGGUGUGUAGGUGGCGUUGUUAGUCGUUUGUGAAAGAUCCGGGCUCAACCUGGAAAACGCGAACGAAACGGCAAUGCUUGAGUGAGGAAGAGGUAAGCAGAACUCAUGGUGUAGGGGUGAAAUCCGUUGAUAUCAUGGGGAAUACCAAAAGCGAAGGCAGCUUACUGGUCCUUUACUGACACUGAAACACGAAAGCGUGGGUAGCGAAUGGGAUUAGAUACCCCAGUAGUCCACGCCCUAAACGAUCUUCACUAGCUUUUCGGAGUAUCGACCCUCUGAGAGGCGAAGCUAACGCGUUAAGUGAAGCGCCUGGGAAGUACGGCCGCAAGGCUAAAACUCAAAGGAAUAGACGGGGACUCGCACAAGCGGUGGAUUAUGUGGUUUAAUUCGAUGAUAAACGAAGAACCUUACCAAGGUUAGAAAUCUAGACGAAGAUAGGAAGAAACUCUUAUCGUCUUCGGACGGCUAGACAGGUGAUGCAUGGUUGUCGUCAGUUCGUGGUUUGAAUUGUUCCCUUCAGUGGGGUAACGAACGCAACCCUUGCCGCGUGUUACAAGUGUCACGCGGGACUGCUCCGCUCUGCGGAGAGGAAGCGAGGAUGACGCCAAAUCAGCAUGUCCCUCUGAUGUCCUGGGCUACACACAUGAUACAAUGGCCAUUACAACAGGUUGCGACGGGGAAACCCUAAGCUAAUCCUCAGAAAGAUGGCCCCAGUUCGGAUUGAGGUCUGCAACUCGACCUCAUGAAGCUGGAUUCGCUAGUAAUCGCGCAUCAGCCAUGGCGCGGUGAAUACGUUCCCGGGCCUUGUACACACCGCCCGUCAAACAAUGGAAGCUGGGGGUGCCUGAAGUCGGUAACCGAAAGGAGCUGCCUAGGGUAAAACUAGUAACUGGUGUUAAGUCGUAACAAGGUAGCCGUACCGGAAGGUGCGGCUG